rnacentral:rRNA from 1 species
AUUGAACGCUGGCGGCAGGCCUAACACAUGCAAGUCGAGCGAGCGGCGGACGGGUGAGUAAUGUAUGGGGACUGCCCGAUAGAGGGGGAUAACUACUGGAAACGGUAGCUAAUACCGCAUACUAUCGGAUAACCCAUAUGGGAUUAGCUAGUAGGUGAGGUAAUGGCUCACCUAGGCGACGAUCCCUAGCUGGUCUGAGAGGAUGACCAGCCACACUGGAACUGAGACACGGUCCAGACUCCUACGGAGGCAGCAGUGGGGAAUAUUGCACAAUGGGCGCAAGCCUGAUGCAGCCAUGCCGCGUGUGUGAAGAAGGCCUUCGGGUUGUAAAGCACUUUCAGCGAGGAGGCGUUACUCGCAGAAGAAGCACCGGCUAACUCCGUGCCAGCAGCCGCGGUAAUUC